rnacentral:rRNA from 1 species
UAGGGAAUCUUCCGCAAUGGGCGAAAGCCUGACGGAGCAACGCCGCGUGAGUGAUGAAGGUCUUCGGAUCGUAAAACUCUGUUAUUAGGGAAGAACAUAUGUGUAAGUAACUGUGCACAUCUUGACGGUACCUAAUCAGAAAGCCACGGCUAACUACGUGCCAGCAGCCGCGGUAAUACGUAGGUGGCAAGCGUUAUCCGGAAUUAUUGGGCGUAAAGCGCGCGUAGGCGGUUUUUUAAGUCUGAUGUGAAAGCCCACGGCUCAACCGUGGAGGGUCAUUGGAAACUGGAAAACUUGAGUGCAGAAGAGGAAAGUGGAAUUCCAUGUGUAGCGGUGAAAUGCGCACAGAUAUGGAGGAACACCAGUGGCGAAGGCGACUUUCUGGUCUGUAACUGACGCUGAUGUGCGAAAGCGUGGGGAUCAAACAGGAUUAGAUACCCUGGUAGUCCACGCCAUAAACGAUGAGUGCUAAGUGUUAGGGGGUUUCCGCCCCUUAGUGCUGCAGCUAACGCAUUAAGCACUCCGCCUGGGGAGUACGACCGCAAGGUUG